rnacentral:lncRNA from 1 species
CUCUGAGGGGUUUGUGGGGCCCUUGGGGCCUCCUGGGAACGUCCCAGGUGCUUCGGCCCAAGAUCUGUGCUGAUUCAAUGCCACCCCCACAGCUGGGCAGAGCCUUGAGAUGGACACUGCCUGCAAACCCUGCCCAGCCUAGAGCUGAGCAUGGGGCUUUGGGGCCCCCCAAUGGCUCUGCUCAUUCUUCAGGGCCAGGGACCACCUUCUGGAGCCUGAGCCAGAACCUGAGCCUCCCUUCAGGCUCUUCUCUCAGCUCUUCUCUCAGCCACACCACCACCCCCUGCCCACUUCUCACCGCCCAGCCCACAUCAAGCCCUAAUUCUACCCUUUUUAUUCCAUGUAAGAGCUUGCCCAAAAGGAGCUCUUGCCCCUAGCAACAGAAAAAGGCUUCUGUUCUUAGAAAUACAGCAGCCAUUUGUCCAUCCCUGGAGACCCUCUUGUUCUGCCCUAGUAAAUCACCUUCCAAGCUGUGGCCAGAAAUUGGCUUUUCUUCCAUUUCUACUUCCUUGCUGAAGCCACCUUCUCCACCUGUCUGGUGUUCAUUGCACCAGGCAUCCUGCUAUUGCUAUUCUAUACUGGGGUUCUGGAGCAGCAGGAGUGUGGCCCCAAGGCAGGAAGGCCUCCCGUUGCCUUGAUGACAUUCAGCAAAUCACUCUUGCCCUGGGGACCAGGUUUUCCUUCUGUAAAAUGAGGGGGAGUGGACCUCAUCAUCUCUGAUUCCUUCCAGCUUUAGAAUCUGUUUCUGUGAUGAUGUUGGGGAUUGUGCAGAACUAGUUUCCUUUGUUUACAAGAUGUGGAGACUAAGAAACCCAUAGAAGUGUGAAGUAUAGAGUAUCAAGAGCACUCCCUCUGCCUGUUCUGGGAUGUACACUGUUACCCACACUUCCAGGGAGAAAGCGCCCUGGUUGAGGGAGUGGUGCCAAUGUGCAGACACAUCCCAGCCUGGGACCCAGGGCUGCCCGUGCCCAUCCCCCAAUAGCCCUGCUGCUCCCUUCCCCCUCGCCUCCCUCCAGGGCUGUUGAGAGGAAGAAACGAGAUGCUCCAUCUCCAGAUGCCCUGCCCAUAGGAAGGCCCAUGCAGAUCCUCGGGACUAUGCUCUGUUCUGUUCAAUCCACCUGGUGGGUCUGACGACCCGGACAUGGCCCUGCCUUCCAGGGAGUAGACACUGUGUCUGCACUGUGCUCCUCUCUUGUGACAAGAGCAGGCUUGGUGCUAUGGAGGCUCCCCAGGGCUUCCUAUAGGAGCAUUAAUCACUGAAGGAAGGGCCAGGGCAGUAGCAGGCCAGGGACAGUGGGCCCUUCCACGGAGCACAGAGCAGUGGGCCCCGCAGGAGAGGCAGGUAGGGGCGGAGGUGAGGCACUCAGGAACAACACAGCCCUGACUCCACAGCCCGACAAGGGAUUUUAUGGAAUACUUGAGAAAAAAAUCAUCAGUGAAUAUGAUGGAUGCCCCCCAGCAGAGGUGCAGGGGUCCCCCUUUUUGGAUCCAGGAAGCAAAAAGCUGGGGUCCUGGCCUGAGUCUGAGCAGAGGACAGUUUUGAACAAGGAGGUCCACAGGGCAAGAGGAGGGUGGGAGUGCUCCCACGCACAUGGAUCACUGUGCUUUGGAGUAUGUGUCCCCACUGAUGGGGAUGAGGAUGAGUGUGAGACCAAAGGCAGCCCUCUUGGGGUAGGCAGGGGCCAAGGCCCACAGGUGGGGGCUGGGGAGGAUGUGUUCUUAACAGGCGUGGCCAGACCCCUCCUCCUUCAGAAGACCUGGAAGAAGCAGGUGGAGGGAGAAGCAGAGUCACAGAGGCAAGGCAGAGACUCAGAGGCCCGGAGACUGGGGUGGCCGCGGGCAGGGCCUCCCCAGCCCCACUGCUUUCCGAGCUAGCUAUCUCCAGGAGGCCAGCCUGCCCACUGGGCCCCAAAGCCCCAACCCCCAGGUGGCCCUCCCCUCUUGCAGCUGCCACAGUUUCUGCAGGGCUGCUUUGUCAGACUCUUAGAACACAAGCAGCAGAACUAGGAAGGCCCUCAGAAUGAAGGAGACGCAGGCACCGUGGGAGCCCAGGGCCCCUUUCCAUUGCACCAGUGCUCCAUCCUCCCACAUCUCCCAAAGAUCAGCCCUCCUCAGUGACCCCGGGAGCCCAGGAAGAUCAAGGAUCGAGACUGUCGCCCUGGACCUGCCUGCUGUGUAGCUCUGGGUGCAAGUCAAAGAUCAAGCUGAAGUAAAGUUCACCUGCAUCUCGUUAUUGGGCCAUGAGAAAUAGCAGCCCGACCCUCAGUUUGAUCCAGGAACAAUCUCACCAGGGCUUGCCAUCAGCCCAGGACAAUUGACAAGACCUUCAUAGGUCUUUUUCGGCUCCCUGCACACCCAGAACAGGAGCAUUUAAGAGAAGUGUUGCUUUUCAUUUGUUCUGAAGACACUGCUCUCGGGCACCAGAUAAACCAACCGAGCGAUUCACAGAACCCCUAGCAUGGGCCACAAACCAAACACGCAGAGCCGCAGCGAGGACAGAGGGUGCCGCGUGGCCCUUCCUGACAUUCUUUCAUCUGCACACUGUACCGUCAACUCAUUUUCUGCACGGAAUGAAGAUACAUCACUCUGCUCCGGAAAACUACAUUUAGCAUCUCCUUCUUUUUGUGGGGCAGGGAAGUUUUCAUCGACAAAGCGUUUGUAUUGCAGAUGGCUCACCAUAUGCCACGUUCCUGCACGUUAUCACCUUGUAAGCAGAUUCUGUCAGGUUUUAGGAGUAAAAGCUUAAUUAACAAGUGGUGUGUACAAUUAUGUACUUAAUUAUCUACUGCUUUUAUUUCUUUGUUGUUUCUUGUUUUCCAAAAGUUUGGUAACAAUUACAGGCAAC